AAGUUAGCAUCACAUAGA
rnacentral:snRNA from 1 species